AUUGAACGCUGGCGGCAGGCCUAACACAUGCAAGCCGAACGGUAACAAGAAGCAGCUUGCUGCUUCGCUGACGAGUGGCGGACGGGUGAGUAAUGUCUGGGAAACUGCCCGAUGGAGGGGGAUAACUACUGGAAACGGUAGCUAAUACCGCAUAACGUCGCAAGACCAAAGAGGGGGACCUUCGGGCCUCUUGCCAUCGGAUGUGCCCAGAUGGGAUUAGCUUGUUGGUGAGGUAACGGCUCACCAAGGCGACGAUCCCUAGCUGGUCUGAGAGGAUGACCAGCCACACUGGAACUGAGACACGGUCCAGACUCCUACGGGAGGCAGCGGUGGGGAAUAUUGCACAAUGGGCGCAAGCCUGAUGCAGCCAUGCCGCGUGUAUGAAGAAGGCCUUCGGGUUGUAAAGUACUUUCAGCGGGGAGGAAGGUGUUGUGGUUAAUAACCGCAGCAAUUGACGUUACCCGCAGAAGAAACACCGGCUAACUCCGUGCCAGCCGCCGCCGUAA
rnacentral:rRNA from 1 species